GAUCAUGGCUCAGAUUGAACGCUGGCGGAAUGCUUUACACAUGCAAGUCGAACGGUAACAGGUCUUCGGAUGCUGACGAGUGGCGAACGGGUGAGUAAUGUAUCGGAACGUAUCCAACUAAUGGGGGAUAACUAAUCGAAAGGUUGGCUAAUACCGCAUACGCCCUACGGGGGAAAGCAGGGGAUCUUCGGACCUUGCGUUAAUGGAGCGGCCGAUAUCUGAUUAGCUAGUUGGUGAGGUAAAAAGCUCACCAAGGCGACGAUCAGUAGCUGGUCUGAGAGGACGACCAGCCACACUGGAACUGAGACACGGUCCAGACUCCUACGGGAGGCAGCAGUGGGGAAUUUUGGACAAUGGGCGAAAGCCUGAUCCAGCCAUUCCGCGUGAGUGAAGAAGGCCUUCGGGUUGUAAAGCUCUUUCGCAAGGGAAGAAACGAUGCAGUCGAAUAAACUGUGUUAAUGACGGUACCUUGAUAAGAAGCACCGGCUAACUACGUG
rnacentral:rRNA from 1 species